ensembl:lncRNA
GGGGGGCAGUUUCUCAUCGUCCGAGACUCCCAGCCUGUUUGUGCAUUUUUUCCGGGAGUCUAGGCUCCGAGGCCAACUUCGCUCCCGGGUUAAGACGGCCCUGGGCACGGAGGACGGGUGGAUGCGUGGGAGAUGGUAUCCAGCUGGGGACCCUGCCCCUCUGAACCGGGAGUUCCGGGCUGCCCCCGGGGACAUCCCAGGCCGAGGCGAGGCGGGAGACCAGGGAGAAGACCCGGGCCAGCGAUCCCUUUUCAGAUGGCUUCUCAACGAGCGCCUCGGAGCCGCUGUCCUGGAGCCGCCGGGGUUAGGGGAAUGACAUUUGGGUGAGAAGGGGCGGCUCCAGAUCCGAAGGGUACCCCACUCCCUCACCCCUGGCCAGGGUCCCUUUAUCUGCGGAGUCUAGACGGAUGCACAGGCGGAAGCCACCACCCCGGCUCAGACUCCGCUGCUGCUUGCCAAACACAGAGAGCCGACCCGCAGCGAUGGCCCGGGUCCCAUCCCCGAACCGUCCCCUCAACCCCGGUCCCCCCCGGCCAGAGCCUGGCCUACCCCCCCACUCCGCCCCGUCGGUCCCAGCGCAGAGGGUGAAGCCCCGCCGCCGGGAGCCUCAGGCCUCCUACAGGAAGACGCAUCGUGGGACCGUGGGCCAAAUCCUCAUGGAAAAAGCUUUUAGGAUGGGGGAGAUGUGGCGUGAGGGUUGGGGCCGUCGGGGGACGUCGCAUCUUGGACAGAAACCACCUCAGGUCCAUGGGCGGACGCGGAGCCCACGGGUGAAACAGCGCUUCUUUCUGUCUCCUCACCCUCCUUUCCUUCUUUAAUUUCCACCGCUCUGGACAGCGUGCCUACCCGGUGCCAGCUCCUGAGAGGCCCUCGGGGCACCAAGGUGAACAAAACCGGGCGGCCGCUGGAGCUGGGGACAAACUAGAAGAUUCCAGGCCUGGGCGGGCAGGCUGAGGGCCACAGUGGGGAACGCGGUCAAAGACACCACCGGGGAUGGUUGGCGGGGGCCUGAGUGAGGUUCCAACUGCCUAGGCCUCUGCAUCUUGAGGCCCUGGCGUUCUGUGCGACCUGCCCGUGGUGAUCCCCGUGGCCUCCAGUGUCCUCCGGGCUGACUGGGAACCUGGCAUCCCCGAGGUCGGGAGGACGGGGUGGGGCUGCGGACAGGAGAGAUGGACGCCCGAGCGAGCCUUGAACCGAAAGUGAACCCCGGGAGCACCGACCUCCUGUAGUCCGGGGCUUUCUCUCUGAAGCCAAAAAUACCCCGGGUCAUAGUUUGCUUUUUCUUUUCUAAGUAGCCAUAUUUACAUAAAUCCCCACUGGAAAUUUCCACCUUUCAAGACUGACCGCUGUUUUUGGUGUUUCCAGAGGCUAAAUGAAGUCAGGGGAUUUUUACAAGUUGAAGUGACCCUCCCCCUCUGCCCAGGCAGAGAGAUGAGUUUGCUAACCCUCCCCUCCUCUAACCCCAGGCCAGCUGUGCCUAUCAAAGUACCCAGAGGGCUGGGCUGGGGGUCCCCAGGGAUGGGGCUGUGGUCCUGGAGUGGGGAAGUGGACCCCCAGGAGUGGGCAACCCCUCAGCCCUCAUCCCUGGGUAUUUCACCACCAAAGUUAAGCUCUAUCUUCAGAGUUCCCCACUUCCUCCUUUCCUUCCUUGGAAAUUCGGUUGCAAAUAUCACUACAUGGUGUAACCUUUAAAGGUAAACUUCUGAAAUGGCCAGCUCCAAAUAAAAACUAGCCUUUUGUGAGGGAUCCAACUCCAAACCAAACUGGUUUUCCCUUUUAGAAAUGCUCCCCUUUUACCACAAAGACAAGAGAUGCUCAGUGUUGUGAGAGAACACACAAUUAGGCCUUGGGGAUUUUUAAGUCAACAUUAUAUGUACAAAAUCUACCCAAAAAGGAGAAAGCAGCUUAUCAAAACUGCCAACGGACUCAGAACUCUUAAUAGGUAACAUUUUACAGAACUGUAUUUGAUCCAAGAUAGUUAAGUUUCAAUGGAAUAGCUGAAUUCUGUUCUUUUGAUUGAUGAUGUUUAAGUUUUUAAAUAUUAAUAUUCCUUCUUUCUCUUGAGCUUUUUAUUUUGUAUUGGGGUAUAGCCAAUUGACAAUGUUGUGAUAGUUAAGUUUUAUAUAUGUAUGGCAAUUAAACAGCUGGUUGAUUCAGUUGAAUAAUUUGUCCUUGGGCUAUUUAAAAAAAAAUUCACUAUUUUAGUUAUAUUUCUCAAAGAGGCCACCUAACUGUAAUAGCUAUAACAGGAAGGUCUUAAAAAAUUACAAGCAGUGUAUUUAAAGACUGAAAACUGAAUGCACCUGUAAUGGCACACUCCCCACAAAAUUUGUUUAGAAAGCAAAGUGAGAUGACCUAACGGUGGAGCCAUGCAUGAACCCUCCCCAUGCAUGCGUGUGUGCUAAGUCACUUCAGACUCUUUGCAACCCCACGGACUGCAGCCUGCCAGGCUCCUCUGACCAUGGGGAUUCUUCAGGCAAGAAAUACUGAAGUGGGUUGCCAUGCCCUCCUCCAAGGGAUAUUCCCAACCCAAGGAUCAAACCCACGUCUCUUAUGUCUCCUGCAUUGGCAGCACCUGAAACAAGACGCAAGGAGGGUGGGCACAACCUUUGGAAGAUACAGCCAUGAGGACACACCAGAAACUGGCUAGAACCAACCCCAUAGACAGCAGCCCACCAGGCUCCUCGUCCCUGGGAUUCUCCAGGCAAGAACAUUGGAGUGGGCUGCCAUCUCCUCCAAUGCAUGAAAGUGAAAAGUGAAAGUGAAGUCGCUCAGUUGUGUCCGACUCCCAGCGACCCCAUGGACUGCAGCCUACCAGGCCCCUCCGUCCAUGGGAUUUUCCAGGCAAGAGUACUGCAGUGGGUUGCCAUUGCCUUUCUAAAUAAAUCCAAUUCGUACCUAUCACUUUGUCUCUCACUGAAUUAUUUCU